GUUUUAAUAAUUUAAUAAAAAUAUUAACUUUGUAAGUUAAAAUUAGAUAGUAAUUCUUUAAAACA
rnacentral:tRNA from 1 species